GGCCUGCGUCGGGCUCUGUGCUGACAGCUGAGAGCCUGGAGCCUGCUUCGGAUUCUGUGUCUCUCUCUCUCUCUGCCCCUCCCGUGCUCACGCUCGCUCUCUCUCUCUCUGUCUCUCAAAAAUAAAUAAGCCUCAAAAAAAUUCAGAAAUGCACAUUUCCAAGCUAUACUCCCCAGACUUUCUGAUUUGGCAGGUUUGGGGGACCUCCCAGGAGGUCCCCAGUUUUGGCAGUCAUCUCAGGAGGCCUCCGCGGGGCUAGGAAUGGAAAGUCACUCAGCUUUGCCGCUUGGCUGCAGAGAAUUCUUCUUUGCGUGAGCCACUUGUUUCAUCAGGGCUCAUUUUCUCUAGUGAAAGAGACACUCAGCUUGCCCAUGCCAACUCCUGUCUUCGUACCCACGCGGUCCCUGCAUGGCCCGGCCCCGCCCCAUCCGGCAGCAAAGACUGGAACCAACAGCACUCGCCCCCUGAGAACCCUAGGCCUUAGAACCUGAGACGCAUGCCGGCCACGGAGGAGGGCACAGAGGGCUGGUCAGCCCGAAUCACUGUUCAUCUAUUCAUCUCAUGCGUCACACGUUCUCUGGGAAGGGCCCCCGGGUCGGGGUUAGAAAUGAGUAAGGCAGGGCACCUGGGUGGUUCAGUCGGCCGAACGUCAGACUUCGGCUCGGGUGAUGAUCUUGCAGUUCGUGAGUUCGAGCCCCACAUCGGGCUCCGUGCAGACAGUGCAGAGCCUGCUUUGGAUCCUCUGUCUCCCUCUCUCUGCCCCUCCCCUGUUUGCGGUCUCCCCAAAAUAUAUAAAAACAUUAAAAAAAAUAAAUGAAUAAGACAGUAAGACAGACUCUGCCCUCAGGAGACUCACGGUUUAGGAGGAAAAAACAAAAUCUCAAGACCGUCCUGUAAGGCACAACCUCGGGAUGCACCUGCUGUGGGCCUGCGGAGGAGAGAGCCCAAAAUCUGCCCCAAGAGGCGGGUGGAGGAGGCUUGUUUAUGCCAGGCCUUGAAGGCUGUGAAGAGGUUUCCAGCCGAUGGACAAAGAGGAAAGACGUCCUGGGAAGAAGGAACAGAAGGAACAAGGCGUGGAGGCACGAACAGGGAACCCUGGCCAAUACGGAGUUCGUCUCUCAAGCUGGUCUGAUUGGUAGUGGCUGCCUCGAAGGCUGUGUUGAGAAGGAUUCUGAGACCACAUCGAGGCACGGUGAGUAAAGUGAAUACGAGCUCUCCAGUAAGAGCAGAGAACGGCUCUGUCUUGUAAAUUGUAUCCCCAGUCAGUGUCUAGGACCCCACCUACGGCAUGGGCGGUACCCUGUGAUGAUAAAUACGUUUUGUGAAGGAAUGAAUGAUCUUUUAGCAAUGUCUGCCAGGGACACAGUGGUGGAGAAGCGGACCAUUGCUGAUGCGUUUCACCAGAGAGGAAACUGAGGCCCCAGGAGGACUUUGCUCAAGGUCACACAGCUAACUGAGAGGUGACACGUUCAAGUGUUAAACACACGUCUUCUGACUCUCUCGCCGCAAAGCCCUUCGGUAUCCUGUCUGAGUAGGGAUUUGAAGGGAACAGUUUUCAGGACAAGGGAAGCACCUGCUGGAAAAAGAGGCUCCGUUCCUUGUUUAAAAGAUUUUUUUUUUUUUACAUUUAUUUAUUUUUGAUCGAGAGACAGAGCCCGAGCGGGGAAGGGGCAGAGAGAGAAGGAGACAGAAUCCGAAGCAGGCUCCAGGCUCCCAGCUGUCAGCACAGAGCCCGACGCGGGGCCCGAACUCGCAGACCGCGAGAUCAUGACCUGAGCCGACCCAGGUGGCCUCUCUUCCUGUUUGGUCCUCUGUUUGCUCUUCGGGCCUCUGUGCCCUGAACGCCCCACACUCCGGGAGCCUCCCCGCCCAGCUGCAUUCUACAAGUCACCCUUGCACCCGGCCUGCUCAGGUUCCCUCCUAGAAGGACGUUGCCAAGUGGCGGUGAGGGGCUCCCCACCGCAGGCCACGAUGCCCACGUCCCUCAAACACCUCUGGCUUUGCCCAGGCCUGACGGCUGGGUCCGGAGGUCCAACCGGCCCCUCCGGGAGCAUUGCCUAGGUGGGUGGGGCUUUCUGGGUUGUAGUAAUGGGGUGGGGGGCAGGGGAGCCUGACAGCACGAGGGCCUACCUCGGAGCCUGGCGUGCAGUGGGGCUCCGGUGGAAGUGUGCGGAAUGACUGAAGGAACAUUCAAGACGGAUGGACAUGGGAAUCGAGAGGAGGUGAGGGCCACUGUGUUCGCUCCCUACUGCGUCACCCAGCUGGCCUAAGCGGCUGGCUGCUGUCGUUUCCAAAGGACAGGACUGGCUUCCUUGCUAGGGGAUGGCCCUUCGUCCCCCUCUCCGUGUCCCUGUGUCCCUACCACACCGUGGGCCUAUGGGGAUGGCCGUUUUCCCCUGUAGGCCAGGACCCCGCUGGGUUUGAGUCCUGGCUCUGGAAGAUAGGGGGCUGCUUAGUAAGGCUUCAUGUCUGCGGUGUAGAAAGAGAACGGGAACAGUCAUACUUGUUUUCGAGGGUUAAGAAUUCAGCGAGUUAAUAUAGGGAAAGCUCUGCAAAUAGAGGCUGAUAGGUAGCAAGUGUUCAACUAACGUUAACUACCGUAAUGGUGGUGGUGGGGACUGCCACCCGUCGUUCAGAGAACAUUAAGGCUCAGAGAGGUUGAGUAACGUACUUCAGGGGAACCAGCUCCUAACAGAUACAAAUGUGCCUCCACAUCCGUUUCUUCCUCAACCCAGAAGGCGUGAGCAUUCCCAGUGGCCAGAGAAAAGUUUAGAUGGAGGAGUGAGUGGGAGUUCCCACUUCUCUUGGAAAUGCUAGGAAUUCUGCCCCCCACCAGGGUUCUGAGACGUUCCUGCAGGUGUGAGAAGUGAUUUUGGUUCUUUCCUGGGAAAAGCUGGGCCAGUGUGUGUGUGUGUGUGUGUGUGUGUGUGUGUGUGCGUGUGUGCACGUGUGCAGGUGCACCCAUGUGUGAUCGUGGUGGCGGGGAGAAGCUGUUCUUUGUUUCUCCGGAGACAGAGCUGCCCCGCCAGAGCGGGCCCGAUGGCAGAUGGUGGGGCAGGGCAGGGGCCUAGCCGACCCGAGGACCGCUGCAGACCUUUUCAGUGUCUAUAUCUGGGGUUGCUGUGCCCUCUGGGCCCCUGGAUCCCAACAGGGGCUGGCUCUUUGUGUCGGCCAAUUUCAAACUGUUAGAUGCACGCCGGGGUCACGCCCCCAGUGGGUGCCCAGGGCAGGCAAACUCAUUUCAGUAUUAGCUGACGUCGGAGAGGAUUCAAAAGUGAAAUCUGUAGCAAGGGGGGGCAAAAAUUAAGUUCAUCGAAUGCAUUUCAAAGCCAAAUAAAAAUGGCUUUUGGGUCCUCUCCUGUUUUUGGAUUAUCCUUGCCUGGAUUCCCAUCUGCCUGCAUGGAUUAUCCGCGUCUGUGUGAAUGGAUGUGUGUGCU